AAAUGAAUUGACGGGGGCCCGCACAAGCGGUGGAGCAUGUGGUUUAAUUCGAUGCAACGCGAAGAACCUUACCAGGGCUUGACAUCCUGCGAAUUCUGUGGAAACACGGGAGUGCCUUUUUAAGGAACGCAGAGACAGGUGGUGCAUGGUUGUCGUCAGCUCGUGUCGUGAGAUGUUGGGUUAAGUCCCGCAACGAGCGCAACCCUUGCACUUAGUUGCCAUCACGUAAAGGUGGGCACUCUAAGGGGACUGCCGGUGACAAACCGGAGGAAGGUGGGGAUGACGUCAAAUCAUCAUGCCCUUUAUGUCCUGGGCUACACACGUGCUACAAUGGUCGGUACAGAGGGUAGCGAAGCAGCGAUGUGGAGCCAAUCCCACAAAGCCGACCCCAGUUCGGAUUGCAGGCUGCAAUUCGCCUGCAUGAAGUCGGAAUCGCUAGUAAUCGCGGAUCAGAAUGCCGCGGUGAAUACGUUCCCGGGCCUUGUACACACCGCCCGU
rnacentral:rRNA from 1 species